CUCUUCGACACCCCUAGGGGCCUGUGUCACUUGCGAACCUCGACUGGGAAGCGUCUCGGUCGAGGCAACUUUGAAGUUCAAUUUCAAACGAUCAUUGAGAAGAAUCCUUUCCAGACAACUUAAAUAUGCAACGGGGUAUUGUAAGUGACAGAGUGACCUUCCUGCCAUGAUCCACUGAUAUUCAUCCCUUCGUUGCCUUGAUUCAG
rnacentral:ncRNA from 1 species